GUAUCGUCGGGCAGGCGCAACUUGAUAUUUUACAUAUGGGAUUUCAGCUAUUUUUUUUUUCAAUCUUUCCCAAGAUAAAAUGAGCGCUUCGUGGAUGAGUUUAUAAAAAUUUCGUAAACUGCCGUAAAUUUAACUUUGCUGAGAUUCGUUUCCCUCCAGUCGCUUCUAUCUCGGGAAAGAGAAUCCAGUUAUACUUUUGAUCGACUUCAAUGUGCGGGUGCAAAUCAUUGAUCAAUGAAUAAUGUACGAGAGCCAAUCUCGCACACUUGGAUUAUUAUUAUGAAUUCUUCAAAACAAGCGAUGCGAUGCAAGAAAUCUUGAAGUGAUGAAAUUCUUCGGUGGAAUGGGAAAUUUUAUUUGGUUUUAUUUUAUCUUAAUUUUUUUUGGAACAUUUGCCAAACUUUUAGAAAUUUGUGGGAAUAAUUACGAACUUAGAUUUUAUGUGAAUAUACAUGUAUAGAUUUGUAUGUAAUAAAUGUAAAACGUAAUAAUUUUUGUAAAAUCUAUAAAUUGAUUCGUUCCAUAAAUAAAAAAUAUAUUUAAAGUUUUAUCAGAAAUAUUUCUAAUUUUAACAUUUUGUUAAUUCUUUGGCUUAUAUUACCACCCUUUUCAAAAAAAUGAAAUAAAUUGUGCUUUCUACUUAUAACAAAGACUGUAUAUAUGACAAAUUAAAUAAUAUACGAACAUGUCAUAUAUAUCGUGUUUACUUUUUUUAGCUGAAUUUUGUGUCUAUUUUAAUAGUAAAAUAAAUUAAAAAUUUUUUCGAUACUUUGAUGAUCAUAUGCCAAUACCUAUGACAAAUUCUAUCAUUCAUUCAAUUUGUAUUUUUCAAUGAAACAAUUUAAUCCAGAAUACAGCUUAUGAAUAAAUAUUACAACACAAAAUAAUUUGCCUAAUUUCCAUAUUGUUUGAAGCUUAAAUUCUUAUACAAGAAAUUUUUGUUUAGACUGGCAGCAGAUGCACAUGAUAAAAUGAGAAGUCAAGAAUGAUAGUGAAAAAAUUGCAUGCAAAAAGCAAAUAUGUAAAGGGAAAUGUACAAAAGCUGUUAAACAGACUGAUACAGGAAUAGUGUACAGAUUAAUUAUUUCGAAAAUAUGGACAGUUGUUUCUUUUCUUUACAUAUUAAUAUCACAUAACACAGUAGAUUGUAGACAAUUUCGUAGAAAAAUGUUAGAUUAUUCUACAUUAUUUUUCUAAGAAAUAUACAUUCAGAAUAUAAUUAUACCCUAUUACCUAGUUGAUAGAUAAUCAUUAAAAUUAUUUGUAAUAGCCUAAUGUGCGCAAACAACCAUCUUCAAGAAAAUGAAAUAAUUAUAAUAUUGCAUGUGACGAAAUAAAAUAUGAAAAUGAAUGACACUAAAAGCCAUUUUCACCAUAUCAAAAAUAUCACAUUUUUUGCAAUAAACAAUACAAGAUCUCUGUAUAAAAAAUACAUAACAGCUGUUAGGUUUCUCUUACAAUGAAAUAUAUUCAACUGUGCAAACAUAAAGCUUGGAAAUUAAUUAAAACAUGACAUUUAUUUUGAUUAUAAAAUAAAAUUAGUUUGUUAUAAAAUCAUAUACGUUUUAUUGCCUGAAAAUAAAAGAAAUAACGGAAAAUAUAUUUUUUGUAGGUAUAGGCUAUCCUUUUGCACAAUUUUCAUUUUGCAAUAUUAUCGGUUAAUAAUAAUUUUGAUUAGACUACGAAAAUAAGAAAAGCGAGAAGUCUUUUAAUUCUCUUCUUAACGCUACGUAAAUUAUAUUGUUAUAAGUAAUACAAAAAAAUCUAAAUAUUUUCAAGUAUUUAAAGCACAGUUGUUAAAGCAUUGGCAACAAAAAAAAAGACCUGAGUUGUAUGUACAGUUAACAAGAUUCUGUUUAAAAAUAACAAACUUGCAUUGGUAUUUUCCCGAGUGCUACAGUAACCAUUACUUUCCAGGUUAAUACAAAUGCAAGCGUCAACUGUAUAACAUAAAAAAAGUACGUAUAUAAGAGACGCAUUCCAAGUGCUUUGUAUAUCACAGUAUACUUGGUAGUAAUCUCUUAUCUUUCUCUACAUAAUCUUUGGCUAUUUUAACUACGAUACAUACUUUCAUACGAAUGUCAUUCAUGAUCGAUAAUUUGGCGAUCGAAUUCUGCAAAAAUACAAUCAAAUCAUAUCAAUUAUACUUGGUCAUAUUUAGUUCUUUCAACGUUUUCUUAACGAUAUUUGCAUGUCAUUUGCACGAAGAAAAAAAAA